rnacentral:rRNA from 1 species
GGCCGUAGCGCGGUGGUCCCACCUGACCCCAUGCCGAACUCAGAAGUGAAACGCCGUAGCGCCGAUGGUAGUAUGGGGUCUCCCCAUGCGAGAGUAGGGAACUGCCAGGC